UACGUAGGGAGCAAGGCGUUGUCCGGAAUCAUUGGGCGUAAAGCGCGCGUAGGCGGUCCGGUAAGUCGGUUGUGAAAGUCGGGGGCUCAACCCUCGGAUGCCGAUCGUAUACUGUCGGGCUAGAGUCCGGAAGAGGCGAGUGGAAUUCCUGGUGUAGCGGUGAAAUGCGCAGAUAUCAGGAGGAACACCAAUGGCGAAGGCAGCUCGCUGGGACGGUACUGACGCUGAGGC
rnacentral:rRNA from 1 species